AUUCUAGCUAUGACUUAGCUAGUCCUGGUCUUUUUGUCAAGGCCUUUGCUGUCAUGAAAAUUGCAUGGUUAUAUGCGGUGCCUAAGAAUUUGAUUGUACUGCAUAUGCAUGGGGUUGCAGAAAAUAUUAUCUCUCCUAGAGUCAGAUGAUGCCAAUGUACGGAUUCAUGCUGUGAAGGUGGUGGCCAACCUUGCUGCUGAAGAUGGAUUUCCAUCUUUCUCUUGAAACUUCUUAUCAGAUGUGAAUUGAAUGUCAUCCCUUUCUCUGGGAGCAUGUUUGUAUCUUCUUAAGUAAAUUUCUCAAUCAAUAUGGCUGGGAUGGA